UACGGAGGAUGCGAGCGUUAUCCGGAUUUAUUGGGUUUAAAGGGUGCGCAGGCGGAGGUGCAAGUCAGCGGUCAAAUUGCGGGGCUCAACCUCGUCGAGCCGUUGAAACUGGGUGCCUUGAGUGGGCGAGAAGUACGCGGAAUGCGUGGUGUAGCGGUGAAAUGCAUAGAUAUCGCGCAGAACUCCGAUUGCGAAGGCAGCAUGCCGGCUCCACACUGACGCUGAGGCACGAAAGCGUGGGUAUCGAACAGG
rnacentral:rRNA from 1 species